rnacentral:rRNA from 1 species
AUUGAACGCUGGCGGCAUGCCUUACACAUGCAAGUCGAACGGUAACAGGUCUUCGGAUGCUGACGAGUGGCGAACGGGUGAGUAAUACAUCGGAACGUGCCCAGUAAUGGGGGAUAGCCCGGCGAAAGCCGGAUUAAUACCGCAUACGCCCUGAGGGGGAAAGUGGGGGACCGCAAGGCCUCACGUUAUUGGAGCGGCCGAUGGCUGAUUAGCUAGUUGGUGAGGUAAAGGCUAACCAAGGCGACGAUCAGUAGCUGGUCUGAGAGGACGAUCAGCCACACUGGGACUGAGACACGGCACAGACUCCUACGGGAGGGAGCAGUGGGGAAUUUUGGACAAUGGGGGCAACCCUGAUCCAGCAAUGCCGCGUGUGCGAAGAAGGCCUUCGGGUUGUAAAGCACUUUUGUCAGGGAAGAAAUCCUUUGGGCUAAUACCCUAGGGGGAUGACGGUACCUGAAGAAUAAGCACCGGCUAACUACGUGCCAGCAGCCGCCGUAA